GAUGAACGCUGGCGGCGUGCCUAACACAUGCAAGUCGAGCGAAGCGAUUUAACGGAAGUUUUCGGAUGGAAGUUAAAUUGACUGAGCGGCGGACGGGUGAGUAACGCGUGGGUAACCUGCCUCAAAGAGGGGACAACAGUUGGAAACGACUGCUAAUACCGCAUAAGCCCACGACCCGGCAUCGGGUUGAGGGAAAAGGAGCGAUCCGCUUUGAGAUGGCCUCGCGUCCGAUUAGCUAGUUGGUAAGGUAACGGCUUACCAAGGCAAUGAUGCAUAGCCGAGUUGAGAGACUGAUCGGCCACAUUGGGACUGAGACACGGCCCAA
rnacentral:rRNA from 1 species